UCUCUCUCUCUCUCUCUCUCUCUCUCUCUCUCUCUCUGUCUCUCUAUGUCUCUCACUCUGUCUUUCUAAACUCCCUCUACCCCUCUCCCUACCUCUCUUUCUCUCUGUCUCUACCUCUGUCUAUCUCUUUGCUCAUUGUCUCUAUACCUCUUAACCUCUCUGUCUACCUCUCUAUCUAUCUCUCUCUACCCCUUUCUCUCUUUCUCCAUCUUUCUCUACCUCUCUCUUUCUUUCUCUCUACCUCUCGUUCACUCUGUAUCUUUUUACCCCUCUCUCUACCUCUUUUUACUGCCUCAGAUUGUCGUGGCAUCCCUCAGUCCCACAUUAUACAUUACACUCCCUCAGCGUCACACUCUAUAACUCUGCACUCAGAACCCAGAACUGCUCUGAAACAUGAAAUUAAAACAGACGCUCGCUUUUGGAAAAAUAAGAUUUAUUUAUUUAUUUAUUCAUCUUAUUGACAGAUACCAUUACACACAUAUUCCCAAACACCUCAUUCAUCCCCGAUGCCUCUUCCGUAUGCCUGUUUUGUAAUGUUUAGGGGUCCAUGCUGACUGUGGGUUUGCAUGUUCAGGCUGGAUUAAUCAACAGUAAUGAACGUUUCAUGCGUUUUUGAGGACCGUGUGUUGAAAGCUGAAGACAGCCAUGUGACGUCUUAAUGUUCUGUGGUUCCACAGAGGGUUGAGUCUCUAACUGAACCUGAGACUGGAGAUGAAGGAGCAGCUCCUCCUGUGGCUUUGCAGUUCCCGCAAAUCGACAUCACUCCAGCCAUCAUGGAUAUUAAGGAGUAUUACUGCCAGCUGGCUGAGAGCCUUCAGUUCGAGUCCAGAGCCCGGGCUGUCGGCGCCAUCACUGCCGGAGGAGAUGAGCAGCAGAAUCGACUGGAAAAGCUGACCGGAGGGAAAGUGAAGGAUCCCUCUGAAGUCACAGACGUGAACGUGCUGAAGGACUUGGUUGCAGAGCUGCAGAAGGAAGUAGCUGAGCUGGAGAAGUACGGCGAGGAUCUGGAGGCUGAGAUUGAAGCUAAAAGAGAGGCUCAUCUGCUAAAGAUAGAGGAGCUGGAAACCCACAUCAGCCAGCUGGAGGAAGACGAGGCUGACCUGCAGGAGCAGAUAAAGGAGCAGACAGGCGACUACGAGGAGCUGCUCAGCCAGAAGAUGACUCUGGAUAUAGAAAUCGCUGCUUACAGAUAUGAGGAAGCGCUCAGUUCCUGCUGGGUUAAAAUGAGAUUCCCAGUAGAGAGAGUGAGAAUAGGACAGAUGAGGUCAUUGUGAAGGACAGCACCUGAAUAAACCGCUGUUUAGAUGAAGGCA
ensembl:lncRNA